AGACAGCACUGGAAGUGGAAGACUUUGCCAUCCCAUGUAUUUGGAUCAGAGUUGCCAAAACACCAGAGAGGAUGAAUUUGAAAGUUGACUUUUGCAUUGGAGGAGAUGGGGAAUAAAGAGUUGAAAAUUCCCUUGCCAACAGGAGAGGAAUCUCUAGUUGCUGGGGGUAAAGGCUUCAUGUAGGAGGUGAUAUUUCCAUAUUUCUUACUUCAUGGCACCUAAGUGGUACAAUGGACAGAGUACUGGAC